rnacentral:SRP_RNA from 1 species
GCUGAGCUCGGUAACGUGAGCUUGUCACCCAAGUGGGGGCAUUAAGGUGGCCGGACGUGGGUUCAGCUUUGAGAGGUAGGGUCUUGUGGUGGGUUCUUGCUGGCCUGUCCGUUCCAAAUGGGGAGUUGGACCAAGGGGCUUGAGCGAAGGCUUUGGCCUCGUGGUUCUUAGAGUGGAGGGUAAUGCGUCAGCUGGCUUCACAGAACAGCGAAUACCUCCCGCUCCAAAUAGUGGAAGGAUAACGGGCCGGUGCUCUCCAGGCCCAAUACGCCCCAAGGGCUGACCUUUACUGAACGAUCACUUUU